rnacentral:rRNA from 1 species
GUCGAGAAUCUUUCACAAUGGGGGCAACCCUGAUGGAGCGACGCCGCGUGGAGGAUAAGGUCUUCGGAUUGUAAACUCCUGUCAUGCGUGAACAAGGUUGCUUGGAUAAUACCUGAGCAAAUUGAUGGUAGCGCAAGAGGAAGAGACGGCUAACUCUGUGCCAGCAGCCGCGGUAAUACAGAGGUCUCAAGCGUUGUUCGGAAUCACUGGGCGUAAAGGGUGCGUAGGUGGCGUGGUAAGUCAGAUGUGAAAGCCCGGGGCUCAACCUCGGAACUGCAUCCGAUACUGCCAUGCUAGAGUACUGGAGAGGUGACUAGAAUUCUCGGUGUAGCAGUGAAAUGCGUAGAUAUCGAGAGGAAUACCAAAGGCGUAGGCAGGUCACUGGACAGUUACUGACACUGAGGCACGAAGGCCAGGGGAGCGAACGGGAUUAGAAACCCCGGUAGUCC